rnacentral:rRNA from 1 species
AUUGAACGCUGGCGGCAUGCCUUACACAUGCAAGUCGAACGGCAGCACGGGUGCUUGCACCUGGUGGCGAGUGGCGAACGGGUGAGUAAUACAUCGGAACAUGUCCUGUUGUGGGGGAUAGCCCGGCGAAAGCCGGAUUAAUACCGCAUACGAUCUACGGAUGAAAGCGGGGGACCUUCGGACCUCGCGCUAUAGGGUUGGCCGAUGGCUGAUUAGCUAGUUGGUGGGGUAAAGUCCUACCAAGGCGACGAUCAGUAGCUGGUCGGAGAGGACGACCAGCACCACUGGGACUGGACAACGGCCAAGCCCCCUACGGGAGGAAGCAGAGGGGAAUUUUGGAAAAUGGGCGAAAGCCUGAUCCAGAAAUGCCGCGUGUGUGAAGAAGGCCUUCGGGUUGUAAAGCACUUUUGUACGGAAAGAAAUCCUUGGCCCUAAUACGGUCGGGGGAUGACGGUACCGGAAGAAUAAGCACCGGCUAACUACGUG